rnacentral:rRNA from 1 species
CCUACGGGUGGCAGCAGUGAGGAAUAUUGGUCAAUGGACGCAAGUCUGAACCAGCCAUGCCGCGUGCAGGAAGACGGCUCUAUGAGUUGUAAACUGCUUUUGUACGAGGGUAAACGCAUAUACGCGUAGCUGUCUGCAAGUAUCGUACGAAUAAGGAUCGGCUAAAUCCGUGCCAGCAGCCGCGGUAAUACGGAGGAUCCAAGCGUUAUCCGGAUUUAUUGGGUUUAAAGGGUGCGUAGGCGGUCGGAUAAGUUAGAGGUGAAAUCCCGAGGCUCAACUUCGGAAUCGCCUCUGAUACUGUACGGCUAGAGAGUAGUUGCGGUAGGCGGAAUGUAUGGUGUAGCGGUGAAAUGCUUAGAGAUCAUACAGAACCCCGAUUGCGAAGGCAGCUUACCAAGCUACUUCUGACGUUGAGGCACGAAGGCGUGGGUAGCAAACAGGAUUAGAUACCCUGGUAGUC